rnacentral:rRNA from 1 species
AUUGAACGCUGGCGGCAGGCCUAACACAUGCAAGUCGAGCGAUAACGGUCUUCGGACUUAUUAAAGCGGCGGACGGGUGAGUAACGCGUGGGAAUCUACCAAGUAGUGGGGGACAACAGUUGGAAACGGCUGCUAAUACCGCAUACGCCCUAAGGGGGAAAGCAGGGGAUCUUCGGACCUUGCGCUAUUUGAUGAGCCCGCGUUAGAUUAGCUAGUUGGUGGGGUAAAGGCCCACCAAGGCGACGAUCUAUAGCUGGUCUGAGAGGAUGAUCAGCCACACUGGAACUGAGACACGGUCCAGACUCCUACGGGAGGCAGCAGUGGGGAAUAUUGCACAAUGGGGGAAACCCUGAUGCAGCCAUGCCGCGUGUGUGAAGAAGGCUCUAGGGUUGUAAAGCACUUUCAGCGAGGAGGAAAGGGUGUUGUUUAAUAUGCAACAUCUGUGACGUUACUCGCAGAAGAAGCACCGGCUAACUCCG